GUCGGGGUGGCGAAACUGGCAGACGCGGCAGGCUUAAAACCUGCUGGCCGACAGGCCGUCCGGGUUCGAGUCCCGGCCCCGGCA
rnacentral:tRNA from 1 species